ACUGGAAUAAUUACAACCCCCCCAAUUAAGGAUAAACCUGAGGUUGUUUGCAAUAAAACACAUGUUACACUGAUUAUUUAUUUGGAAAUGCAUAUUUAGACAAUAAAAAAACAUCAUAAAAAAGGACAUCUUCACUCCCACAUGCAGAUCCACACACCCACGGACAUUCACUGAAGCCCUCUGAAAGCUCUAUUAUAGAUCCAAAGAAUGUUCCCCUUUGUUCAAAACUUAUUUAUUCCACUUCCAUGUAAUUUUGUGUGUAGCGGGUUGGUGGACAGCAUUGAGAGGAAGAGUACUAGAAAGAAGAAGCAGUCAUUCUGGAAAUAUGUCCAUUAGCUGCUUCUAAAUCAAGCAAGCCUUCAGAUUCGACUGUAACUGUUUCCCAGAUGCUUGUUGUUGUGCAAUGCAUCAUGUGGUUUCCCCCAGUAGUCACAGACAGAUUUUGACAUGCCUCUCCAACAGCUCGAGCGUGGUUUCCCUCUGACGUCUCCUCUGUUGGCAGGUGUUCAGAUAUGAGCUGUAUGUGCUUGUGAAUUUCAGAGCCCGAAUAUCACCCUGCAGCGGAGCACCAUGAAACAGGGCGCAAGCAUGACGGAGAGAAGUGGGAGUUUUCACGCGUGGAAAGUGCUGCUGGUGGGGCUGGGUGCGCUGCUGCUGCUCCUGACCUAUGCAGGUUCGGUGUUCCUGCUGGUUCGGCAGAGAGAGCUGACGGAGGAGCUGGUCAGGCUGGACGCCCGGAUGCAGGAGCUGUCCCGGAGCUGCAAGCUGCAGGCAGGGAUCGUGUCCACGGACCCCGGAGAGGCUGCAGAGCUAAAGACCUUACGCCGCAGGAGAAGGAACCAGGACGGGCAACCUGCACAAAGUCAAGACGAGGAGGACAUGAUGAUGCUGAUGACAUACUCCAUGGUCCCUGCCAAAUCCCUCAUCGACCUGUGCUCCAGAGGAGUUUGUGUAAUAGGUCCACCUGGACGUCCAGGUAAAAACAGACAUUUAUAG
rnacentral:lncRNA from 1 species